UCCUGACUGACCGAUAGUGAACCAGUACCGUGAGGGAAAGGCGAAAAGAACCCCGGCGAGGGGAGUGAAAAAGAACCUGAAACCGUGUACGUACAAGCAGUGGGAGCACGCUUAGGCGUGUGACUGCGUACCUUUUGUAUAAUGGGUCAGCGACUUAUAUUCUGUAGCAAGGUUAACCGAAUAGGGGAGCCGAAGGGAAACCGAGUCUUAACUGGGCGUUAAGUUGCAGGGUAUAGACCCGAAACCCGGUGAUCUAGCCAUGGGCAGGUUGAAGGUUGGGUAACACUAACUGGAGGACCGAACCGACUAAUGUUGAAAAAUUAGCGGAUGACUUGUGGCUGGGGGUGAAAGGCCAAUCAAACCGGGAGAUAGCUGGUUCUCCCCGAAAGCUAUUUAGGUAGCGCCUCGUGAAUUCAUCUCCGGGGGUAGAGCACUGUUUCGGCAAGGGGGUCAUCCCGACUUACCAACCCGAUGCAAACUGCGAAUACCGGAGAAUGUUAUCACGGGAGACACACGGCGGGUGCUAACGUCCGUCGUGAAGAGGGAAACAACCCAGACCGCCAGCUAAGGUCCCAAAGUCAUGGUUAAGUGGGAAACGAUGUGGGAAGGCCCAGACAGCCAGGAUGUUGGCUUAGAAGCAGCCAUCAUUUAAAGAAAGCGUAAUAGCUCACUGGUCGAGUCGGCCUGCGCGGAAGAUGUAACGGGGCUAAACCAUGCACCGAAGCUGCGGCAGCGACGCUUAUGCGUUGUUGGGUAGGGGAGCGUUCUGUAAGCCUGCGAAGGUGUGCUGUGAGGCAUGCUGGAGGUAUCAGAAGUGCGAAUGCUGACAUAAGUAACGAUAAAGCGGGUGAAAAGCCCGCUCGCCGGAAGACCAAGGGUUCCUGUCCAACGUUAAUCGGGGCAGGGUGAGUCGACCCCUAAGGCGAGGCCGAAAGGCGUAGUCGAUGGGAAACAGGUUAAUAUUCCUGUACUUGGUGUUACUGCGAAGGGGGGACGGAGAAGGCUAUGUUGGCCGGGCGACGGUUGUCCCGGUUUAAGCGUGUAGGCUGGUUUUCCAGGCAAAUCCGGAAAAUCAAGGCUGAGGCGUGAUGACGAGGCACUACGGUGCUGAAGCAACAAAUGCCCUGCUUCCAGGAAAAGCCUCUAAGCAUCAGGUAACAUCAAAUCGUACCCCAAACCGACACAGGUGGUCAGGUAGAGAAUACCAAGGCGCUUGAGAGAACUCGGGUGAAGGAACUAGGCAAAAUGGUGCCGUAACUUCGGGAGAAGGCACGCUGAUAUGUAGGUGAAGUCCCUUGCGGAUGGAGCUGAAAUCAGUCGAAGAUACCAGCUGGCUGCAACUGUUUAUUAAAAACACAGCACUGUGCAAACACGAAAGUGGACGUAUACGGUGUGACGCCUGCCCGGUGCCGGAAGGUUAAUUGAUGGGGUCAGCGCAAGCGAAGCUCUUGAUCGAAGCCCCGGUAAACGGCGGCCGUAACUAUAACGGUCCUAAGGUAGCGAAAUUCCUUGUCGGGUAAGUUCCGACCUGCACGAAUGGCGUAAUGAUGGCCAGGCUGUCUCCACCCGAGACUCAGUGAAAUUGAACUCGCUGUGAAGAUGCAGUGUACCCGCGGCAAGACGGAAAGACCCCGUGAACCUUUACUAUAGCUUGACACUGAACAUUGAGCCUUGAUGUGUAGGAUAGGUGGGAGGCUUUGAAGUGUGGACGCCAGUCUGCAUGGAGCCGGCCUUGAAAUACCACCCUUUAAUGUUUGAUGUUCUAACGUGGACCCGUGAUCCGGGUUGCGGACAGUGUCUGGUGGGUAGUUUGACUGGGGCGGUCUCCUCCUAAAGAGUAACGGAGGAGCACGAAGGUUGGCUAAUCCUGGUCGGACAUCAGGAGGUUAGUGCAAUGGCAUAAGCCAGCUUGACUGCGAGCGUGACGGCGCGAGCAGGUGCGAAAGCAGGUCAUAGUGAUCCGGUGGUUCUGAAUGGAAGGGCCAUCGCUCAACGGAUAAAAGGUACUCCGGGGAUAACAGGCUGAUACCGCCCAAGAGUUCAUAUCGACGGCGGUGUUUGGCACCUCGAUGUCGGCUCAUCACAUCCUGGGGCUGAAGUAGGUCCCAAGGGUAUGGCUGUUCGCCAUUUAAAGUGGUACGCGAGCUGGGUUUAGAACGUCGUGAGACAGUUCGGUCCCUAUCUGCCGUGGGCGCUGGAGAACUGAGGGGGGCUGCUCCUAGUACGAGAGGACCGGAGUGGACGCAUCACUGGUGUUCGGGUUGUCAUGCCAAUGGCACUGCCCGGUAGCUAAAUGCGGAAGAGAUAA
rnacentral:rRNA from 1 species